GACGAACGCUGGCGGCGUGCUUAACACAUGCAAGUCGAACGGUGAAGGGAUCAGCUUGCUGGUUCUGGAUGAGUGGCGAACGGGUGAGUAACACGUGAGUAACCUGCCCCCUUCUUCUGGAUAACCGCAUGAAAGUGUGGCUAAUACGGGAUAUUCUGCGCCUGCUGCAUGGUGGGUGUGGGAAAGAUAUUGUUUCGGUGGGGGAUGGGCUCGCGGCCUAUCAGCUUGUUGGUGGGGUGAUGGCCUACCAAGGCGGUGACGGGUAGCCGGCCUGAGAGGGUGGACGGUCACGCUGGGACUGAGACACGGCCCAGACUCCUACGGGAGGCAGCAGUGGGGAAUAGUGCACAAUGGGCGCAAGCCUGAUGCAGCGACGCCGCGUGAGGGAUGGAGGCCUUCGGGUUGUGAACCUCUUUCGCCAGUGAAGCAGGCCUGUCCCUUGUGGGUGGGUUGACGGUAGCUGGAUAAGAAGCGCCGGCUAACUACGUG
rnacentral:rRNA from 1 species